CCUCUGGCUCCUCUUUUCUCCUUUUGGUUUAAACACAAGUGCAAUACCAUUUUCUUUUGAGAUACAACUCUCGGUCAUUCUCACUUUCUUGGUUUUGACACCAUUUUCUUUCGAGAUACACCUCUUGGUCAUUCUCACUAUAUUGGUUUCGACACCACUUUCUUUUGAGAUACACCUCUUGGUCAUUCUCCCCUUCUUGGUUUUGACACCACUUUUAUUUCAGUUCUUGGUUAUGACACCAUAAUUCAAGGACACAUCUAC
rnacentral:lncRNA from 1 species